rnacentral:rRNA from 1 species
UACGGGAGGCAGCAGUAGGGGAAUAUUGGGCAAUGGGCGAGAGCCUGACCCAGCCAUGCCGCGUGCAGGAAGAAGGCUUUCUGAGUCGUAAACUGCUUUUGACAGGGAAGAAUAAGGACUACGUGUAGUCUGAUGACGGUACCUGCAGAAUAAGCACCGGCUAACUCCGUGCCAGCAGCCGCGGUAAUACGGAGGGUGCGAGCGUUGUCCGGAUUUAUUGGGUUUUAAAGGGUUGCGUAGGCGGCCGUUUUAAGUCUGGGGUGAAAGCCCGCUGCUCAACAGCGGAACUGCCCUGGAUACUGGAUGGGCUUGAGUACAGACGAGGUUGGCGGAAUGGACAGAGUAGCGGUGAAAUGCAUAGAUACUGUCCAGAACCCCGAUUGCGAAGGCAGCUGCUAGGCUGUUACUGACGCUGAGGCACGAAAGCGUGGGGAGCGGACAGGGAAUUAAGGAUACCC